GAUGUUACGUUCUGUAAAAUGUUAUUGUAUUUUUUAAAUAAAAGUAAAAUAAAUGUCAAUUUCAAAUACAUUCGCAGAAGAAGAAGGCUCGGAGGCGCCUUUACAGAACCCAGACGAACAGGAUAAUGUUGAAACUGAGACCAAAGUAUACGAUCCACCGAAGAGUCCAGAACCUCCGAAUCACUUCGUCGACGACAUUUAAUUUAUAAAUAAACUUAUAAAAUAAAA